UUUGCAAUAUCUAACGGCCUGUAUUAUAAUUAUAGUAAUUUAUAGAAUAGUUUUACUAAAAGACUGGUAGUCGGUCUAGACUGGUAGUCAGAUUAGUUUUGAAGUCUUUAUCGGUAGGGUUGCAAUGUCCCACGGCGUGAAGCUGUAGUUAGUAUUUUAAGCCGUUGUAAAUUAGUAGUUAUUUGGAAUUGUGACGUUCCCGGUGGGAAAAGUAGUGGCUUGAAGAUUGUUAAAGUUUCAAAUUUAUUAGAACUUAUAGUUAAAAGAAUACUUACAAUUAUUUUAACAGCAUUGAUUUUUGAUUAUUGUGUUGACGAACUAGCCGAGGUGUUACAAGAGUGCCAUGAGAAUCAACUCCCCCUUCAACUCCCCAAAGACCUGUCAACCAGCAGUCUACAAAAAGGGAAGCUCGCCUGCUGCUCGCUGCCUUCCGCCUUUCGCCUUCUGCAUUCACCUGUUCCUAUCAUGGCCCGGGGUCUUGCUCUGCUGUAUCCGUUCUCUCUCCACAUGUUACUCAUUUCUAUUAUAGAUUCCUCGCACUACUAGUACUACCUGUUCCCGAUAGAUCCUUCCAGAAUUAGGCUAUGGAGUUCCUUUCCUGAGGCAAUAUGACGGUGAUACCCAACCCACUUGCUCUGCCUGUCCUCACCUAAGCUCCACCAGUCGUAUUGCUUCAUUGAUUCCCCCCUCCUUCCUCGAGAACCGUUCGUCACUAUGUUAGAUCCUCGG